rnacentral:rRNA from 1 species
UGGGGAAUAUUGCACAAUGGGCGCAAGCCUGAUGCAGCCAUGCCGCGUGUGUGAAGAAGGCCUUCGGGUUGUAAAGCACUUUCAGCGGGGAGGAAGGCGUUAAGGUUAAUAACCUUGGCGAUUGACGUUACCCGCAGAAGAAGCACCGGCUAACUCCGUGCCAGCAGCCGCGGUAAUACGGAGGGUGCAAGCGUUAAUCGGAAUUACUGGGCGUAAAGCGCACGCAGGCGGUUUGUUAAGUCAGAUGUGAAAUCCCCGGGCUCAACCUGGGAACUGCCUCUGAUACUGGCAAGCUUGAGUCUCGUAGAGUGGGGUAGAAUUCCAGGUGUAGCGGUGAAAUGCGUAGAGAUCUGGAGGAAUACCGGUGGCGAAGGCGGCCCCCUGGACGAAGACUGACGCUCAGGUGCGAAAGCGUGGGGAGCAAACAGG